UACGAAGGGGGCUAGCGUUGUUCGGAAUUACUGGGCGUAAAGCGUGCGCAGGCGGCUUCUCAAGUCAGUGGUGAAAGCCCGGAGCUCAACUCCGGAAUUGCCAUUGAAACUGUGAGGCUUGAGGACGAGAGAGGUGAGUGGAAUUCCCAGUGUAGAGGUGAAAUUCGUAGAUAUUGGGAAGAACACCAGUGGCGAAGGCGGCUCACUGGCUCGUUUCUGACGCUCAUGCACGAUAGCGUGGGGAU
rnacentral:rRNA from 1 species